GAUGAACGCUAGCUACAGGCUUAACACAUGCAAGUCGAGGGGUAACGAGAGGAAAGCUUGCUUUCCUUGUCGACGACCGGCGCACGGGUGAGUAACGCGUAUCCAACCUGCCCCCAACUAGGGAAUGACCUUGCGAAAGUAAGACUAAUACCCUAUAAUUUCCUCAGAUGACAUCUGACGAGGAAUAAAGAUUUAUCGGUUGUGGAUGGGGAUGCGUCUGAUUAGCUUGUUGGCGGGGUAACGGCCCACCAAGGCAACGAUCAGUAGGGGUUCUGGGAGGAAGGUCCCCCACAUUGGAACUAAGACACGGUCCAAACUCCUACGGGAGGCAGCAGUGAGGAAUAUUGGUCAAUGGGCGGAAGCCUGAACCAGCCAAGUAGCGUGCAGGAUGACGGCCCUAUGGGUUGUAAACUGCUUUUAUACAGGAAUAAAGUUAGCCACGUGUGGUUAUUUGUAGGUACUGUAUGAAUAAGGACCGGCUAAUUCCGUGCCAGCCGCCGCCGUAA
rnacentral:rRNA from 1 species